GCUUGCUACUUGACCUAGCGGCGGAGGGGUGAGUAAGGCUUAAGAAUCUGCCUAUGAGUGGGGGACAGCUUCUCGAAAGGGAUGCUAAUACCGCAUACGUCCUACGGGAGAAAGCAGGGGACCUUCGGGCCUUGCGCUAAUAGAUGAGCCGAAGUCGGAUUAUCUAGUUGGCGGGGUAAAGGCCCACCAAGGCGACGAUCCGUAGCUGGUCUGAGAGGAUGAUCAGCCACACUGGAACUGAGACACGGUCCAGACUCCUACGGGAGGCAGCAGUGGGGAAUAUUGGACAAUGGGCGCAAGCCUGAUCCAGCCAUACCGCGUGGGUGAAGAAGGCCUUCGGGUUGUAAAGCCCUUUUGUUGGGAAAGAAAAGCAAUCGGCUAAUACCCGGUUGUUCUGACGGUACCCAAAGAAUAAGCACCGGCUAACUUCGUGCCAGCAGCCGCGGUAAUACGAAGGGUGCAAGCGUUACUCGGAAUUACUGGGCGUAAAGCGUGCGUAGGUGGUUGUUUAAGUCUGUUGUGAAAGCCCUGGGCUCAACCUGGGAAUUGCAGUGGAUACUGGGCGACUAGAGUGUGGUAGAGGGUAGUGGAAUUCCCGGUGUAGCAGUGAAAUGCGUAGAGAUCGGGAGGAACAUCCAUGGCGAAGGCAGCUACCUGGACCAACACUGACACUGAGGCACGAAAGCGUGGGGAGCAAACAGGAUUAGAUACCCUGGUAGUCCACGCCCUAAACGAUGCGAACUGGAUGUUGGGUGCAAUUUGGCACGCAGUAUCGAAGCUAACGCGUUAAGUUCGCCGCCUGGGGAGUACGGUCGCAAGACUGAAACUCAAAGGAAUUGACGGGGCCCGCACAGCGGUGGAGUAUGUGGUUUAAUUCGAUGCAACGCGAAAACCUUACCUGGUCUUGACAUGUCAGAACUUCCAGAGAUGGAUUGGUGCCUUCGGGAACUCGAACACAGUGCUGCAUGGCUGUCGUCAGCUCGUGUCGUGGAAUGUUGGGGUAAAUCCCGCACGACGCAACCCUUGUCUUAGUUGCCAGGCACGUAAUGUUGGAACUCUAAGAAACCGCCGGUGACAACCGGAGAAGGUGGGAAUACGUCAAAGUCAUCUGGCUAGCGACAUUGCUUUACCAGCGUACUACAUGGUAAGAACGAAAGGCUGCAACCCGUAGGGCAAGACAAUCUCAGAACCCCGUAUCUCAAUGUCG
rnacentral:rRNA from 1 species